rnacentral:rRNA from 1 species
GUGGGGAAUCUUAGACAAUGGGCGCAAGCCUGAUCUAGCCAUGCCGCGUGGACGAUGAAGGCCUUAGGGUUGUAAAGUCCUUUCGCUGGGGAAGAUAAUGACGGUACCCAGUAAAGAAGCCCCGGCUAACUCCGUGCCAGCAGCCGCGGUAAUACGGAGGGGGCUAGCGUUGUUCGGAAUUACUGGGCGUAAAGCGCGCGUAGGCGGAUCGGAAAGUUGGGGGUGAAAUCCCGGGGCUCAACCUCGGAACUGCCUUCAAAACUCCCGGUCUUGAGUUCGAGAGAGGUGAGUGGAAUUCCGAGUGUAGAGGUGAAAUUCGUAGAUAUUCGGAGGAACACCAGUGGCGAAGGCGGCUCACUGGCUCGAUACUGACGCUGAGGUGCGAAAGCGUGGGGAGCAAACAGGAUUAGAAACCCUGGUAGUCC